rnacentral:lncRNA from 1 species
GGACAUCAGCCGCAGAGUUGCUGCCUUCCAAUUUGAACUGCACGAGGACCAACGUGCAGAAAUGUCUCCCCAGGCCCAAGGUUUUGGUGUGGAUGGUGCCUGCAGGCCCUGCAGUGAUGCCGAGCUCCUUCUGACUGCAUGCACCAGUGACUUUGGUGAGCCUCAGGGACUGUCACAACGUGUCUGUGUUCCUGGCUCCCAGUGUGCUCCCUCUGCUGGAGGACAAGCUGCAAGUGGAGCUUCCUGCAGGGGCCCGUGUGGUGUCUGGACGGUUCCCCUUUCCCACAUGGAAGCCUGUAGCCGUGGUGGGCGAGGGCACCGACAGAGUUUGGGCCUAUGAUGUCCACGGUGCUGGGCCAGCUGUGUCUUCCAGUGGGGUGCCCAUCAAGGCCAUCCCAGAGUCCAGUUCUACCUAGAUCCCUAGGGCCCCUGCUUGACAAGCUGGCUGAUUGGAUAAAAUAAAGACUCUGUGGGUUCA